GAAGUUACACAUGGAAGUAGUAUGAUCAUAUUAAUAACCUAAUAAUAUUAUUAAAUGUUCAAAGUGUGUAAGUAAGUUUAUCUAUAACUUAUGUUUUUCUGUAUUCGGUUAGCUCACCCUACUUGUGUGUCUACGAUGAUCUAUAACUCGUGUUAUUAUACAGGAGUAGAUGAUGUUUCAGGUAAAACUGAAGACAUUUAGUGCGAGGAUGCGUUGGAA
rnacentral:lncRNA from 1 species